rnacentral:lncRNA from 1 species
GUUUGAAACCAGACCUAUAUGCAGCGUCUUCCUUAGAAUAUAACAUACUCUGCUAUCAAGCGUAGUGGAAAGGAAAGAACAUAGAUUUCCACAUCUGAGGGCUUGGGUUGGAAUUAUUGUCUAAGGCAAGUUAGUAACCGCCUCUGAACUUGGUUUUCCCAUCUGGAAAGUGGAGGUGAAAAUGCCUGCCUGGCAGUGUUGUGGAAUGACUAGAUGGGAUAAUGGUUGUUAAACAUGUAACCGAUCACCUGCACACAGCAUCUGCUCAGUGAAUGCUGGUUCCCUUUCUUCCAUUAGUUCCCUUGUUCUCAAUGUUAGGACUGAUAGGCGUAAGUCUCUGUUGUGGCUCAGAAAGAGGAGAGCUUAUUCUCUGGGGAUAUUCACAGUGGAGGGUGACAGCCAUACCUCUUGGUCCCUGAGACUCUGAGCUCCUGUUUGCAUUUUACUUUAUAGUGAAAAGAGCGAGAGUCGCACCUGGCUAGACCAGGGCAGAACUCACUCUGGGCCCUCUCAAGGUCAUCCUCCU